rnacentral:lncRNA from 1 species
CUGGGAAAUGAACUAGAGUUCGAGAUAUAGCUGUCCUUCCUUGGAUUUUGGUUUUACAUUAGUAUUUUAUAGGAGGGACAUAAAAAGAACCAAAUUUUCAUCAGGUCCUUGAGACAUUUCUAUACAAGAUUUCUCUGAGAAGGAUCCCAGGUGCUGUUCAACCUGAGCCAAUUUGUUCAUGGGAAAAAGGGACACGGACAUGUACUAAUCCAUCCACUGUCACUGGUCCAAAAGGGAAGUGGAAGAGGGGUGGGGAGAGGAGGCUGCUAAUUUAAGCCUGAAGAUUUAAAACGAUGAGCCCUAGAAGAUAAACACAGAGGAAUCCUCCCAGGGAUUUAGCUCAGUGCCACCGCACCUGCCUGGCAAGCACAAAGUCCUGAGUUCGAUCCCCGGUACCAAAAAAAAAAAAAAAUCCUGAAGGAAGUUGGACCUCUGUGGCUCCAGUUUGCAGCUAUGGGCUCAAGUGAAUGACCAACUGGUGUGCAUCCCAGGAUCAGCCUCAUGAGCCAGAGGGAAAUCAUCCUAUCAGAGACUGAAGGGACACCUCUGCCAGCAAGGUUGGUUUUAGCAGGAAUGGUUGUGGCUCUCUGGCUCCAGUGAC